GUCUAGCAUGCGCGCGAGUCUUGGGAAUUUCUUUUCAAUCUCGACUAGACCCAGAGGCGCAAUGAAAGUGAAAGGCCGGCCCUCGGCGGCCGGCCGGAAGGGAAGAUGCGCGGGCGCCGCCGCGCGCCCCGCCGCAUUCCCGAGGCGUUUCGAGAAAGCCCCCGCGCGACUAUCGAGACGCACUGAGAGCGCGCACGCUGGGACCCGAAAGAUGGUGAACUAUGCCUGGUCAGGUCGAAGUCAGGGGAAACCCUGAUGGAGGACCGAAGCGAUUCUGACGUGCAAAUCGAUCGUCGGAACUGGGUAUAGGGGCGAAAGACUAAUCGAACUAUCUAAUAG
rnacentral:rRNA from 1 species